UACGAAGGGGGCGAGCGUUGUUCGGAAUCAUUGGGCGUAAAGGGCGCGCAGGCGGCUCGGAAAGUCGGGUGUGAAAACUCGGGGCUCAACCCCGGGCGUGCAUCCGAUACUGCCGGGCUUGAGGCAGGUAGGGGAGAUCGGAAUUCCUGGUGUAGCGGUGAAAUGCGUAGAUAUCGAGAGGAACACCUGCGGCGAAGGCGGGUAGCUGGGCCGACACUGACGCUGAGGCGCGAAAGCCAGGGGAGCGAACGGG
rnacentral:rRNA from 1 species